ACUUGGAAACAGGUGCUAAUACCGGAUAAGAAAGCGGAUCGCAUGAUCAGCUUUUAAAAGGCGGCGUAAGCUGUCGCUAUGGGAUGGCCCCGCGGUGCAUUAGCUAGUUGGUAAGGUAAAGGCUUACCAAGGCGAUGAUGCAUAGCCGAGUUGAGAGACUGAUCGGCCACAUUGGGACUGAGACACGGCCCAAACUCCUACGGGAGGCAGCAGA
rnacentral:rRNA from 1 species